rnacentral:rRNA from 1 species
GACGAACGCUGGCGGCGUGCUUAACACAUGCAAGUCGAACGGAAAGGCCCUGCUUUUGUGGGGUGCUCGAGUGGCGAACGGGUGAGUAACACGUGUGUAACCUGCCCUUGACUUUGGGAUAACUUCAGGAAACUGGGGCUAAUACCGGAUAGGAGCGCCUGCUGCAGGGUGGGGGUUGGAAAGUUUCGGCGGUUGGGGAUGGACUCGCGGCUUAUCAGCUUGUUGGUGGGGUAGUGGCUUACCAAGGCUUUGACGGGUAGCCGGCCUGAGAGGGUGACCGGCCACAUUGGGACUGAGAUACGGCCCAGACUCCUACGGGAGGCAGCAGUGGGGAAUAUUGCACAAUGGGCGGAAGCCUGAUGCAGCAACGCCGCGUGCGGGAUGACGGCCUUCGGGUUGUAAACCGCUUUCGCCUGUGACGAAGCGUGAGUGACGGUAAUGGGUAAAGAAGCACCGGCUAACUACGUG